GUUAUAUAGUGCUGAUGUGUGUAGUGUUUGUUAUAGAUCAGACACACGUUCACACUAAUGACUGUCUAUCAUUACAGUAUCAGAUCUUCAGUCAGGUUAUAUAGUGCUGAUGUGUGUAGUGUUUGUUAUAGAUCAGACACACGUUCACACUAAUGACUGUCUCUAUUUAUCAUUACAGUAUCAGAUCUUCAGUCAGGUUAUAUAGUGCUGAUGUGUGUAGUGUUUGUUAUAGAUCAGACACACGUUCACACUAAUGACUCUCUAUUUAUCAUUACAGUAUCAGAUCUUCAGUCAGGUUAUAUAGUGCUGAUGUGUGUAGUGUUUGUUAUAGAUCAGACACACGUUCACACUAAUGACUGUCUCUAUUUAUCAUUACAGUAUCAGAUCUUCAGUCAGGUUAUAUAGUGCUGAUGUGUGUAGUGUUUGUUAUAGAUCAGACACACGUUCACACUAAUGACUGUCUCUAUUUAUCAUUACAGUAUCAGAUCUUCAGUCAGGUUAUAUAGUGCUGAUGUGUGUAGUGUUUGUUAUAGAUCAGACACACGUUCACACUAAUGACUGUCUCUGUUUAUCAUUACAGUAUCAGAUCUUCAGUCAGGUUAUAUAGUGCUGAUGUGUGUAGUGUUUGUUAUAGAUCAGACACACGUUCACACUAAUGACUGUCUCUAUUUAUCAUUACAGUAUCAGAUCUUCAGUCAGGUUAUAUAGUGCUGAUGUGUGUAGUGUUUGUUAUAGAUCAGACACACGUUCACACUAAUGACUGUCUCUAUUUAUCAUUACAGUAUCAGAUCUUCAGUCAGGUUAUAUAGUGCUGAUGUGUGUAGUGUUUGUUAUAGAUCAGACACACGUUCAC